rnacentral:rRNA from 1 species
AACGUAGGUUCCGAGCGUUAUCCGGAUUUACUGGGCGUAAAGCGCGUUCAGGCGGUUUGGCAAGUCGGGCAUGAAAUCUCUCGGCUCAACCGGGAGAGGUUGUCCGAUACUGCUGGGCUUGAGGGCAGUAGAGGGUGGUGGAAUUCCGGGUGUAGUGGUGAAAUGCGUAGAUAUCCGGAGGAACACCAGUGGCGAAAGCGGCCACCUGGACUGCACCUGACGCUGACACGCGAAAGCUAGGGGAGCGAACGGG